CUGGGCUCUCCAGCAUCAGCUCCUGAGCCGGGAGACUUCCAGGCUGCAGAAUGACGUCCACGUCUCGCUCCAGCUCAUCCCAUCCACCCAUGGGCCUGGGAAGAGAAAUGGCUGCAUUAGAGCCAGUUCAGGGGCCGGUGACCUUCGAGGAGGUGGCUGUGUAUUUCA